rnacentral:rRNA from 1 species
GUGGGGAAUAUUGGGCAAUGGGCGAAAGCCUGACCCAGCAACGCCGCGUGAAGGAAGAAGGUUUUCGGAUCGUAAACUUCUAUCCUUGGUGAAGAUAAUGACGGUAGCCAAGAAGGAAGCCCCGGCUAACUACGUGCCAGCAGCCGCGGUAAUACGUAGGGGGCAAGCGUUGACCGGAAUGAUUGGGCGUAAAGGGCGCGUAGGCGGCCCGGUAAGUCUGAAGUGAAAGUCCUGCUUUUAAGGUGGGAAUUGCUUUGGAUACUGUCGGGCUUGAGUGCAGGAGAGGUAAGCGGAAUUCCCGGUGUAGCGGUGAAAUGCGUAGAGAUCGGGAGGAACACCAGUGGCGAAGGCGGCUUACUGGACUGUAACUGACGCUGAGGCGCGAAAGUGUGGGGAGCAAACAGGAUUAGAAACCCCGGUAGUCC